rnacentral:rRNA from 1 species
AUGGCAGGAAUGGCCGGGAAGGGGGACGAAUCGGUUGCGCCCGUGAGGUCCAGCGACCGGCUGCGGCAGCGGCCCAAGUACUACGGGCGGGGAUACCUGUACUACUCGCCCAACAUGCGCAACAAGAUGAACUCCAACAAGAAGCGGACGGCUGCAUCGCAGAUCGCCAAGAAGCUGCUUCGCAAGCCAGCUGCACGGGAACCUCCUGCCGAUUCCAUUGCAGCAAAUCUGCGCCGUUCAACGCGGAAGCGAAGAAUGUCCGUAACUCUGGAGGACUAUGGCACAGAUAGUUCCAGUAUGGAAGAUGAUGACCUUAUGAGACCCAGAUAUCGGUCUUCAUCAAAGAGUAAAGGGGAUGAUCAAGUGUCGGCACGGCCGAAGCGCAAGAAAAUGUCUAACUCUAACUCCAUUCCCCGCCGUGAAGGUUUAAGGCCUAGAAGAUCUCUGCGGGGACAAAGGCAUCUUCCAUACCAAGUUUCUGAUGAUGAUCAGGAAAGUUCUGAAGAAGAACAUGAACAAGAUCAGAGAGAAAAUGGCAAUGAAAUCGAAGAGGAUGGUGCCAAUGAAGAGGAGAUUGAUGGAGGUGAUGAAGCUGAAGAAGAUGGAGAUGAUGAAGACGGCGAGGAAGAGCAAGAAGUUAGGAGGAGAUAUGAUCUAAGGGAUCGUGCAGAAGUUCGUAGACCCUCCCCACAGAAGGAAGGGAAGCACAGACCACAAUCUCCCCGCAGAGUACUUGUACAAGGAGUUGGUCCAAAGAACAGCAAGUAUUUAAAAAAAGGUGGUUCACGCAUGCAUAAGCGCCCUCGUUUUUCAAUGCCAGAUGAUUCAGAUGAUUCUCUUCUUGUGGAUGAGCCGGAUGAAGGUCCACCCAUGCCAUGGAUGCGUAGUGGGAGAGGUGGUAUGCCACCAUGGCUUAUGGGUGGAUUGGACAUGCAUAAUUCAGCAGCAUGGGGUCUCAAUGCUGGAGCAUCUGGAUGGGGUCAUCAGGGUGAUACUGGAGUCAGUACUUCAUCACUUAUGCCAGGGGCACAAACUGCUGGCCCAAGUUCCAAGGGAGGAGCUGAUAUUCAGCCUCUGCAGAUUGAUGAGAGUGUAAGUUUUAAUGAUAUUGGAGGUUUGUCUGAGUACAUUGAUGCCUUAAAGGAAAUGGUGUUCUUCCCUUUGCUGUAUCCAGAUUUUUUUGCAAACUAUCACAUAACUCCUCCUAGGGGAGUUCUUCUCUGUGGACCUCCUGGUACAGGGAAGACAUUGAUUGCCCGUGCAUUAGCUUGUGCUGCCUCUAAAGCUGGCCAGAAGGUCAGCUUUUAUAUGCGAAAAGGAGCUGAUGUUCUUAGUAAAUGGGUUGGAGAGGCUGAAAGGCAGCUCAAGUUACUUUUUGAGGAAGCUCAAAAGAAUCAGCCUGCAAUCAUAUUUUUUGAUGAAAUAGAUGGCCUUGCCCCUGUGAGAUCUAGCAAGCAAGAGCAGAUUCACAAUUCAAUAGUCUCAACAUUGCUUGCUUUGAUGGACGGUCUUGAUUCACGUGGACAAGUUGUUUUGAUUGGAGCAACCAAUCGGAUUGAUGCCAUUGAUGGGGCAUUGCGUAGACCUGGCCGUUUUGAUCGCGAGUUCUAUUUUCCUUUACCUGGCUAUGAGGCACGAGCUGAAAUACUGGAUAUUCAUACACGGAAAUGGAAGGAACCCCCGCCAAAGGAGCUAAAGAUGGAGCUUGCUGCGAGCUGUGUUGGGUAUUGUGGUGCUGAUUUGAAAGCAUUAUGUACUGAAGCUGCUAUUCGAGCAUUUAGGGAGAAAUAUCCUCAGGUUUACACAAGUGAUGACAAGUUUGUCAUUGAUGUAGACUCGGUCAGGGUUGAGAGGAACCACUUCUUGGAAGCUAUGUCUACAAUAACUCCAGCUGCACAUAGGGGAUCAAUUGUGCAUUCAAGACCACUGUCACCGGUUAUUGCUCCAUGUUUGAAGAGACAUCUUGAGAAGAUAAUGGAAAGGAUUUCUGAUAUUUUUCCUUACCUUUCAGCAUUGGAUCUUAGCAAAUACUCUACCCUUUCAUAUGGAUCUUCCAUCCCUCUUGUUUAUAGGCCUCGCCUUUUGAUGUGUGGCGUUGAGGGUGUUGGACUGGAUCAUGUUGGGCCAGCUGUUUUGCAUGAGCUUGAGAAAUUUCCUGUGCACUCCUUGGGGCUGCCAUCUCUUCUCUCUGAUCCAAGUGCAAAGACACCUGAAGAAGCUCUUGUGCAUAUUUUUGGGGAAGCAAGGAGAACAACACCGUCCAUACUCUACUUGCCACAGUUCCAUCUUUGGUGGGAUACGGCACAUGAACAGCUUAGGGCAGUGUUAUUGACUCUUCUGAAUGAAUUGGCAUCCAACCUUCCAGUAUUGUUGCUAGGAACAUCAUCAGUGGCCUUUGAUGAUCUCGAAGAAGAGUGUGCUUCCAUAUUUUCUUCUCGUAAUGUAUAUCAAGUGGAUCGACCAAGUGAUGAUGAUAGAUUAAGAUACUUCAGUAUACUGUUUGAGUCACUGCUCUCACUUCAAAUGGAAGAUUCAAGAAGCAAGUCAAAAGAGCAAAAGUCUAUCGAUCUUCCAAAAGCACCAAAGAAAGUAGAUGGGCCUAAGGUUUCUGAGCUGAAAGCUAAGGCAGAAGCUGAGCAACACGCUGUUCGUCGGAUGAGAAUGUGUCUACGAGAUAUUUGUAACCGCAUUCUAUACAACAAAAGGUUCACUGCAUUUCACUUCCCAGUAUCAGAAGAGGAAGUACCUGACUAUCGAACAAUAGUUCACAACCCCAUGGAUAUGGCUGCUGUCUUGCAGCGGGUGGACUCUGGACAGUACUUCUCUCAGGCAGCAUUUUUGAAGGAUAUUAAUCUUAUAGUCACCAAUGCAAAGACUUAUAAUGGCGACGAUUACAAUGGAUCUAGGAUCGUGAGCAGAGCAUGUGAACUUCGAGAUGUGGUGCAAGGUAUGUUGUCACAGAUGGACCCAUCGUUGGUAUCCUUUUGUGAUAAAAUUGCUGCACAAGGGGGACCACUGCAGGCUAUGGAUGAUGAGGAUAGCUCCAUCCUCCAAGCGCCGCCUGUUGUUCAGUUAGUUUCUGUUACUAGAACAAGUGCGAGGCUUCGUAAUGUACAACCAGAAGUUGAUCUGUCACGAAGUUAUGAGGUGCUAAAGCGGCACAAGAAAAGCACUGAAAACGAACAUGGCACCUCUGCCAAAGAAUCGACAGCAAGAGACGGAACGUCUUCUGGCGAUGUAGAUCUGUCAAAGCCAACUUCCCCAGAGGAAGCUCCAAAAGGACCACAUUCAAAUGGCCCUUUGAAAGAAGCUGACAAAGCACCAGAUGAAGCACCUCCAAUUCUACCUGGUUCUCCUUCCAACCCAAUGGAGACUGACAAUGGCGAAGAUUCUGCCAUGCCUGACACGCUUGAACAGCUGGAAGGCUUGAAGCAGCGCUUCAUGGAGCUCACCGUGGGCUACGGGGUGCCGCAGCUCGAGAGGCUCUACUCGCGGAUAAUGAAAGGCGCGAUAGAGUUGACAGGUAAAGAAACCAACAAGGAUCAUAGACGGUUAGUUGUUAGGCAUUUGUUGGCAUUCGUUGAGAACAGCGACAAUUUUUAA